CCUACGGGAGGCAGCAGUAGGGAAUAUUGCUCAAUGGGGGAAACCCUGAUGCAGCAACGCCGCGUGGAGGAUGAAGGUUUUCGGAUUGUAAACUCCUUUUGUUAGAGAAGAUAAUGACGGUAUCUAACGAAUAAGCACCGGCUAACUCCGUGCCAGCAGCCGCGGUAAUACGGAGGGUGCAAGCGUUACUCGGAAUUACUGGGCGUAAAGGGCGCGUAGGCGGGAUAGCAAGUCAGAUGUGAAAUCCUAUGGCUUAACCAUAGAACUGCAUUUGAAACUGUUAUUCUAGAGUAUGGGAGAGGUAAGUGGAAUGCUUGGUGUAGGGGUAAAAUCCGUAGAUAUUAAGAGGAAGACUCGUGGCGAAGGCGACCUGCUAGAACAUAACUGACGCUGAUGCGCGAAAGCGUGGGGAGCAAACAGGAUUAGAUACCCUAGUAGUC
rnacentral:rRNA from 1 species